CUCCAUUCACUCACAGGGUCACCUGGACCGUGCCUUGCAGACACAUCCACAGUGUUACAGAGAUACACACGGAGUCCCAAACAGAUAGAGAAGAGAGUGUCUGCAGGACAGCAGCAGCAGACAGUGGCACAGACACAGAACUCCCUUUACUAAACUCUCUUCGCUGGUACCAUCCCAGUGGAAUGCCAUGUCCUGCUGGGAUACUGACUGGGGCUUGGGGGAGACUAUAGCAGCUCACUGUGACAGCAGCUUCUGUUGACCCUGCACCUGCUCUGCGCAGGCACCGGGCUGGGCCAUGGGCUCACACCAACCCUUCGGAGACUCCCAGCAGCUCAACAGGACCGCACUAUUUACAGAGAAGGAUACUGAGGUUCAAAGAGGCAAGGAGACCCUUAAGGCAAUGCUUGGGGAAGUGAGGACUUGGGGUUAUUAUUCCCCUGUCUCCCUGGCUUAUCAUCUUAACCCAUAUGAUGCACACACUUGACUCUUUGCCCUGCCAGAAACCGUAGCCAGCAGACGUUGGUCUUCCUUAGACCAGACAUUCUCUUUCACCCUCAGAUGGCAGCCACCAUGGAUCCCUGAGGCGUCCUUGGUCUCCAGCUGUCUUCCACAUCAGCAGCGGAAAGUCAAGCCCUAGAGAAGGGGGCUCCCUCCACAGCAGCCACCCGAUCAGCCCCCGGUACCCCCAGAGUGCCUGCUCUCCUCCCAGAACUUCCUCCAGUAGAAGGAAGAUCCCUGGAUAGGGGUCAGUCCAGCCCCCCACUUUACAUGUGGGGAAACAGGUUCAGAGAGGCAAAAAGGUCUUGCUUGAAGCCAAGAGGGAGUCACGCAGAGCUGGCCCCGACCCAGAGAGCCGAGUGGACAACCCCAGGGUUGCAAAAUGAGCCUCCUCCCCCACUUUCCAGUUCGGUUUUUUUCUCUGGGCACCUGGGAGACUUUCCCAAGUUAUCGAUCGCCGGGGCGGCCUUCAGUCAAUAUGGUGCACUUUACUAAUUAAUCUUUUCCAGAUAAUUGCAGGAAAUCAUUGGUUGGUGUGAAGUGGGAGGUUGGAGAGGCAGCCUCUGUCCCCGACCUGACCAGAGCAUCUUCUGGCAGAUCCUACCCGCCUGUCCCUCACUCUUCUCUGUCUCCUUCUGGGGCUGAUGAGCCACCCCCUCCAGAAUCCUCAGCCAGGACUCCCGCCAGCUGUCCUGGCACUGCUCUGGAUGUAGCAGGGAACACCGGGAGCAGGACGGUUCUGGUUCAAAUCUCAACUUUGGCAAUUAUUCACUGUGUGACUGCAGACACAUCAUUUAACCUCCCUCAGCCUCAGCUAAAAAAAACAGACUAGAACUUAUGAUCUGCAUCACAGGCUGCUUACGAGACAAAACAGACCAGGUGCCAUGGCUUACUCCUAUAAUCCCAGCACUUUGGGAGGCCAAGUCAGGAGGAUCACUUGAAGCCAGGAGUUCAAGACCAGCCUGGGCAACAUAGUGAGACCCUGUCUCUACAAAACAAUAAAAAAU
rnacentral:lncRNA from 10 species